GAGAGACUGCUGCGGAACUGGAAAGAUGGGCGCUCGGAGCCGGUGGCAGCGGCGGCUUAUUUACACGGAUACACCACCCCUUUCACUUAGGCUGGACGCCACGUAGCCCUGGGGAAGGGUUUUGCCGACGUACCCGGAACGAAUUCUAAGUUUUUCUCAGCUUUGGGAGGUUGCGCAGGUGGCUUCUGGGAGCCAAGGCAACUGAGGUUUUCCCAGGCUCCUUGAGAGAGUGCCCUAUUUCCCCGGCAGCAGUAGCUCCAGGGUCCCGUUCUGCAGUCCGUAAUGAGAGGCCUCGGGCUCCGCGGGGAAGCGUCGCAGUUCGUGGAAGAGUCCCGAGCGCAGCAAAUCCGCUCGCUCCCCGCGGGGCCGCCGCUCUCGCUCGCACUCUUGCUCUCGGUCCGGGAACCGGAAUGGCCUGGGCCCCCAGCGGAGUGGCCUCAGCCUGGCCUCCCGGAACCAGCCCUGCCGACCCGUUAGCGGUCACGUUCUCCGGAGCGGCCCCCUGCGUCGCGGGGCACCCCCUUCGCCUCUGCCUCCUCGUCCGCCUGUCGCGGCCGCUCCCCGCGCCCCUCCGGGACCGAUAAGCCGUGGGUCUCUGGGACAAGGAGAGGGAGAGGAAAGGCCAUGUAAGGACACAGGGAGAAGUCACCAGUCUGCAAGCCAGGAAAUUUCUACCAGAAAUCAGUCCUGAUCUUGGACUACUAACCUCCAGUAUGUUCAGCUUUGAUGAACACACACCAGUAGAGAUGAAGAGCCAAAGAAAAGCACCACUUCUGUUUCUACUUCAAAAGAAGAAGAAGAGGAAGUCUAGUCAUUCAAAAGAAAGGUCCAAGAAAAAGAGAAAGAAAAAAUCAUCUAAAAGAAAACGCAAGAAGUAUUCUGACAGCGACAGUGACUCUGACUCUGAAACGGACUCCAGUGGUAAGAAGGCCGGCAUCGCUCUGCAAGCCUGGCUUCACGACUCAUUCUACUUAGAAUUUAUUUCCAAAGAAGGUUCUUAAACGCGGUAACGGCAGCCAAGAGUUGUGGAACGCUCGCUGCCUCCGUGCCAGGCACCCUGCCAAGCGCUCGGUGUUCGUUGUCGCUGCUUGCCCCGCGCGGUAACUGUGGAAUGUGUCCUAGAGCCGGGGACGCGGGGCCCAGAGCAGCUGGUAAGCGCGGCACUCAGGGUCGCACAGCUGGGAUUCAAGCCCGAGCAGCGUGGCUCCCGACUGGCUGUGUGUGGCUGCACAAGGCGUGUGGAAGCGAACCGGGGCGAGGUUGGGCUGGGAGACGUGUGGCAGCGAGCAAGCCAUAGGGCCGCGUCGGCCCCGAGGAGCGGCCCUUGUGUGUCAUCCUCACGCUCGGUGGGCACCUCGGUGCCGUUGUCAAAAAGGCACAUCCUAGGGGCGCCUGGGGGGCUCAGUCGGUUAAGCAUCUGAGUUCGGCUCAGGUCAUGAUCUUGUGGUUCAUGAGUUCAAGCCCCGCGUCGGGCUCUAUGCUAAUAGCUCGGAGCCCGGAGCCUGCUUCAGAUUCUGUGUCUCCUUCUCUCUUUGCCCCUCUUCUGCUCACACUCCAUCUCUCUCUCUCUCUCUCUCUCAAAAAUAAAUAAACAUUAAAAAAAUUAAAAAUAAAUAAAUAAAAAGGCACAUCAUAAAGGACCCUUUCGGGCCAGCAGCUGGUUUAUGGAAGACACCCCCUGUGGGGUGGUGCCUCUCAAAAAGCCACCUUUUUGUGCCCUCUCCUGGCUGAUGAUUGACCAGAGGGUGCCACCUCUGGGGACACAUGACAUGAAGGUGUCUUUUCCUCUGAUGUCACCUGGGUUUCCUGGCCCCCGUUGUCACUUUUCUUCCUCACUGCUGGAAGAGCGAACUUCCUUAGAGCACAGGUGUGAGCGUGUCUGUCCCCUACUUACAAUCCUUCAGUGGCUCUCUGUGGCCUUCAGGGUAAAGUUUGGACCCUGCUGGCUCUCUGUCUAAUCACACGUGCCCUGUCACUCUUGCAGCGUCCUCUGUAGCCUGAGAUGUGCUUUCCGUCUCCUCAGUAGUCCGUGUUCUUUCUCUCGCUUCUGUUACUUGGUACAGAAGUCCAUC